CAGGUUUAAUAAAAUUGCAGUUGGAGCACUGAAAGAAAGUACCUUCCAAAACCUAAAGCACUUACAGGUACUGGAUAUUGAAGGGAACCUUGAAUUCAGCAACAGUUCAAAGAAUAAGGAUGACUCAGAAGAGGAAAUGGAAGAUGAGGAAGAGGAAGAGGAGGAGGAAGAAGAACUGAGAUAAAAUGUGAACUCACACAAUUACACCAUGUGGGAGGAAAACAUAUGGAAAAUUACAUAUAUGUCUAUGUGUAUAUGUCUAUAGAGAUAUACAGAGAACACUUAGCAAAACGUGCAAUGAAUUACGCAGAAACUGUCGUGGCACUGGGCCAGGCUCAUGGAAGACUGUGUGUUACAGUGCCUUAUUCAGGGGGAGACCCUGAAUGCCUUUCCAAAGCUUCCAAAGCAUCUUAUACAAGACCCAGGAUCAUAAGGGAUUGCUCUGGAACUCACAAAAGCUGGCUUUUGUUUCUUCUGUUUCUCUUCCUUCACUGUUUCCAUCUGUAAUAACAAUAUGGGACUGUUUUGAGCACAUGCCUUCAAAUGCCAUUUUUGUCACUGCAUUUUAAGUGAACCAUGUAUAUGCUUCUUUUCUUCUCCUCCACCCCAAAGAAGAUGCUGUUGAUCAGGCAAGAUGAAUAUUUGCAGUAUUUUGAUGUGCAGAGCAGUGUAUGAGGCAUUUUGGUCACCAAGUAGCAGUAAUAAUUCUGGAUGCAACUCUUCCUCUGUUAUAACAAUGUGUAUAUUUGGAUGAGAUAAACAAAGUAAGGCUGGAUCCCAUAAUAUUUUAUCUCUACUGCCAAAGCCUGCAGUAUAUUCCUGUUUUAGAAAGGUUUUAAGAUAAAACAAUUGCUCUUGUGAAUAUAUAUAUAUAUAUAUAUAAAUCUGUAUGUUUGCUUUUCA